GAUGAAGAACGUAGUGAAAUGCGAUAAGUAAUGUGAAUUGCAGAAUUCAGUGAAUCAUCGAAUCUUUGAACGCACCUUGCGCCCUUUGGCUAUUCCGAAGGGCAUGCCUGUUUGAGUAUCAUGAACACCUCAACUCUCAUGGCUUGCCAUGACGAGCUUGGACUUUGGGGGUCUUGCUGGCCUGUGGUCAGCUCCUCUCAAAUGAAUUAGCUUGCCAGUGUUUGGUGGCAUCACGGGUGUGAUAACUAUCUACGCUUGUGGUCCUCCACCAGGUAACCUUCCAGUGAUGGGGGUUCGCUGGGGCUUAUAAAUGUCUCUCCUCAGUGAAGACAGCUCUUUGAACGUUUGAUCUCAAAUCAGGUAGGACUACCCGCUGAACUUAAGCAUAUCAAUAAGCGGAGGA
rnacentral:misc_RNA from 1 species